rnacentral:rRNA from 1 species
GUGCCAGCAGCCGCGGUAAUACGUAGGGUGCGAGCGUUAAUCGGAAUUACUGGGCGUAAAGCGUGCGCAGGCGGUUCGUUGUGUCCGAUGUGAAAGCCCCGGGCUUAACCUGGGAACGGCAUUGGAAACUGGCGGGCUGGAGUGCGGCAGAGGGGGGUGGAAUUCCGCGUGUAGCAGUGAAAUGCGUAGAGAUGCGGAGGAACACCGAUGGCGAAGGCAGCCCCCUGGGCCGACACUGACGCUCAGGCACGAAAGCGUGGGGAGCAAACAGGAUUAGAAACCCCAGUAGUCC